CGAUCACUUCACGAGGACGGUCAGCUGGCGAACGUGAACGUUUCGAAAGUUAAAUCUACAUAGCUAUUCCCUACUCAGCAAUUAUGAACAAGGUGUAAGAGAAGCAGUUGUUACAACCACGUACGUCGUAUCCUUAUCAGGCAGCUGACGGGGAACUGUAGGUGAAGAUUUUGAUCAAUCAAGCCUGUCACCACUCCACAGGGGACAUCCAAAUUGCAGCUGUUUUACCAUUCGCCUUGUCUUCGCACUUGUUCUCCACCAGCUCUUUGCCUUCCCACUCUUUACUUCUGCCCGAUAGGAUCUUAGGCAGGAAAGACAAAUCCCCACAGGCCGGCCAGAAUGCAACCGAGUCCUUCGAUGGCAAUCCCUCGGUCCAUUGCGUGAACCGGAGGUGGUCGGGUACCUGCCACAAUCUUGCCCAAGCAUAAUA